ACGCACGCUGGCGGCGUGCCUAAUACAUGCAGGUAGAACGCACAGUUUAUACCGUAGCUUGCUACACCAUAACCUGUGAGUUGCGAACGGGUGAGUAACGCGUAGGUAACCUGCCUGGUAGCGGGGGAUAACUAUUGGAAACGAUAGCUAAUACCGCAUAAUAUUGAUUAUUGCAUGAUAAUUGAUUGAAAGAUGCUAUUGCAUCACUACCAGAUGGACCUGCGUUGUAUUAGCUAGUAGGUGAGGUAACGGCUCACCUAGGCGACGAUACAUAGCCGACCUGGGAGGGUGAUCGGCCACACUGGGACUGAGACACGGCCCAGACUUCUACGGGAGGCAGCAGGAGGGAAUCUUCGGCAAGGGACGAAAGUCUGACCGAGCAACGCCGCGUGAGUGAAGAAGGGUGUCGGAUCGUAAAGCUCUGUUGUAAGAGAAGAACGGGUGUGAGAGUGGAAAGUUCACACUGUGACGGUAUCUUACCAGAAAGGGACGGCUAACUACGUG
rnacentral:rRNA from 1 species